UUGAAGUGGUCCUCUCCUUAGCCUAUAAAUACAUCCACCAUUCCCCUUCCUAAGAACCAUCUUGAUCCAUAAAAAAAGAGCUACAUUCACAAACACAAAUACCAUCUUCAUCCAUUCAUUCCCACAUAUCCAUACACAUCCUAGACAUUUGUGCUACAACAAGGUGGUGAAAACAAAGGUCCUUGGGCAUUUCAAGCUUGGAAGAUUGGAGCGUUUUAGGUGUACUUCAUUCUUGCUUUUAAUGUCUACUUUGUUAUUUUCUGAUUUUGUUGCAACUAUGAGUGGCUAAACCCCUAUUUAGUUAGGGGGAAUUUCAAAACCAUGACUAUAUCUGCAAUAUGAAUUGAUUACUUUCAGUUGUGAUUUCAUAUAUUGUGAAUGCAAUUUACUUAACUGUUUGAUUCAAAACUUAUUCUUGUAUGUUAAUUGAGGGUCGACACUUAGUUGGCAUGCAUGAAUUUGAUGCUAGAAUAUAAGGGAGUUUCACCUAAUCGUUAUGAACUUAUAGUCACAAGUAGUGAAGGUUGCUAGUCACAAUCGCGUUAAGUAAAUUUUUGGCAUAAGUUUCAUGCAAUUCAUAGUUACAAGUGCCUCGUCAAUGCUUAUGAUUUUCAUAGAACUUAAUGAUCUUUGCUCGUAUCUCUAUUAUGCAAUUCAUGUAGGGAACUUGUGAGGAAUAAUUUGGGUUGUUGCAUGCAAUCAUCCAAUUCAAUGAAAAUACGAAAAUCUGAAGGUUAAUUAGUGCAAUUCACGGUUAAUCUGGGGCAUUGAGAUUUAUGGUUUAUCGAAAGAACAACUGAACAUCAAUUUGUAUGCAAGUGUGUCAUGUGUGGAGAAGGACUCUCUAGCUAGCCCAUCAACCAUCCAAUUUACCAAAUUCGUGCAACUUUCUGUUUGAGUUUUAGUUUACUUGUUUUGCUUCAAAUUCAUCAAAACCAAACCCCCCUUUACCUUGUUGAGUCAUAUUAGUUAGAAACGGAUUUAGUUUGUGCUUUUAAGUAUUUCGAACCAGGUUGAAACCAAAAUUCGUCCAAAAGUGUGUUUAGAGUCCAAAUCUGCCCAGUUUGUGUUUUUAGGCAGAUUUGAGUGUUUUUAGCUUGUUUUGAGUUCUUUGAGUUUGUUUUGAAUUCUUUGAGUCUAGUUUUGCAUUUUAACUUUGUUUAUAUGUUUUUAAGUCAGUUUAGAGGUUUUAGCAAGCCCUCAUAAUCCCCAGUUUAGAACGAUCCCUACUUGCAUUUAUACUACAAUUUGACAACAAGAGGGUUUAAUUUGUGUGUUAAGUUAAUUUUCGCAUCAAAUUUUUGGCGCCGUUGCCGGGGAUUAGCAAUUUUGCUAAUCCCUUGUUAUUUCUUUUUGUUUAUUUUCGUGUCUUUUGUUUUUAGUUACUGACUUUGUUUCUGUUUGUGUCUUUUAUUUUUACUUUUGAUAUUUGAUUUUGUUUUGUUUCCUUGAUUUCAGGUACUAGAGAAGUAAUACAUGGAUUUUUCUACCAUUCAAGCUCAAUUGGCGGAACUUACUUCUCAAUCGUCACAAUAUGCCGAAAGGACCACAACGCAAAGUGUCCCUACAUGUGGUGUGUCCUAUGGGCAAGGAUAUCCAACUCAGCAAUAUUCUCAAUUCGCUACGAAUGAAGAUGCUUGGGGUUAUCAAGGCCAUAGCCAAUCAUGGGACAACAUGUUUUCCAAUGCUUACAAUUCGGAUUGGAGAGAUUCAGAUUACAUAGAACCUCAACAAUUCCAACAAGAUGGAUAUUGGCAGCAAGAAGAGGAGUUCUAUUCAAGACCUAUGCAGCCACCACAACAAUCUGCCCAAUUCAAUUCAGGUACGUCUUUGGAUAAUGAUAUGUUUAAUAAGUUACUCACCUCUUUGAACCAGGAAGUAGAAAAUCGAAACAAAGAGAUGCAAAAUCAAGCCAAGAAGACGGGUGAAUUGGAGAAGCAAAUUGGGCAGAUUAUGGAGUUCAUGGCACAAAUUCAAGAGCAAAGUGAACUUUCCAACUCAACUAUUGAAAAUUUGAAGGAAGAUUUUGAAAUCCAUGAUGCUAUCACUUUGGGAAGUGCUAUGGAGGUUGGAGGUGAACCCAAGACAUCCAAACCAAGCCAAAACAUGGAUGAACAGCUGCUACUCGAAGAAGAGGAGAAUAACAAGGCCACGGCAAAGGAAGAACCACCCUUGACGCAACCCCAUAUGCCAUCUAUGACGUCCACUACAACCAAGGUAAGCCUAAAUUCAAUUUGUCUUGACCCCGUUUCACCAAAUGUCUUUAUUCCUUGCAGGAUCAUGCAAUCCAAGGAAGAAGAGGGUGAGAAAGGCAUCUUCGAAACCUUUCCAACAAAUCAAGAGCAAGAAGUGGAUGGGGAAUGUCUAGAAUUCAUCAAAGAAGAUACACUUGAGACGAAAAUUCCCAAAGAAGUUGGAUUUUAUGACACGGGAAAAGUCAUAACUCUCAAAACACCAAAUCUGGCCAAGUCCCAUAUCCUUGCAACCUUCAAAGAUGUGGUGUUCGUAAUUGAGUUUGUGUUGGAGCAAGCAAGUAAGCCAUCUUCUCCAACUUCGAUUUUAUUAUAUACUAACUUGCUGAUUUUGAUGAUUCAGGCACCUACACUAGAAUUUAAACCAUUGCCGGAUCAUGUCAAGUAUCACCUUCCAUUCAAGGAUCAAUUUCAUGCUAUGGGCCCUAUCCAAGUUUAAAGGAAGUUUCAUCCGGCUGGAAGAUGUUAAAACAAGCGCUUCUUGGGAGGCAACCCAUGUAUUCAAAUAAGGAAUUUUUUGAACCGCUCCACAAGUAGUUUUGCGUUUCUAAAAACCUUCCCUUUUCUGCAGUUUUAUUUUGCCAUGAUUAUCAUUUUUAUUUGUUGCUUGUUUAAUUGUUUUUGGUAUGGGUUUAUUUUUGAAACACUGACAGAUAUGCAAGGUAUUUUUACAUUCAUUUUCAUGAAAAGAAAAAGGAACAUUAAGCAGAAAAAUACAAGAGGGAGCCUUCACAAAGGCUGCUUAGGAGAAGUCUCAGUAGUCGGCGGAGCCUCAGUAGUCGGCGGAGCCCCAGAAGGAGGAGGCAUCGGAGGUUGAUCAUUUGGAGCUUCAUUAUGCGGUAUAGCCCCAGAAGACAAAGGCAAAUGCUGUUGGAACAAACCCACAAACCUCUGAUGAUCAAGUAAAAUCUGACCAUCGGAUUCCUGCAUCUGGUCAAUCUUCCUCUUCAUGUUUGUAGCAUAGUUAUGUGUGAGCUUGUGCAACUGUUUAUUCUCAUGCUUGAGCCCUCUAAUCUCCUGUUUGAGACUCAUCACUUCAGCCGCCAACGAUUCAACUUGACGGGUUCGAGCAAAUAGGCGUUGGGCCAUAUUAGACACAGAACCUGCACACUGCACACUAAGAGCUAGAGAAUCCUUAACAGCCAACUCAUCAGACCGUUUGGCAAGUAGUCUGUUAUCUUUGGGAGUGACAAGGUUCUUGGACACCACCGCAGUUGUCAUAUCAUUCUUCAUCACCGAAUCCCCAACGGUAAGGGGACCAGUAGGGGAUAUGAAGGAUGGGCGCCAUAUGUUGUCUGGAGAAGGUAGGACUGCCUCUUCACCAAGGUUCAAGUCAAAACGACGGUCGAAGGGGCCAGACAUUUUCAAAGGUGUUAAAGAAAGAAGAGGUCGGACAAGUCAAGAUCGUAGAAGUGCAAGAAGGGAGUUUCUACAGGCAAAAAUUCAAGUAUGCUUUGAACGUCCUGCGUACCUCUAUAAAAAUCAGCACUCGACGGGAUUUCAAAGAUCGAAGAGGUGAGCUCAGAAAUCGAAGAGGCCAACUCAAAAAUUGAAGAGGCGCUAGCUUUCUCAAAAGCUGGGCUUGCUCAGAAACCACGGGCCAAUCUUCUUUUCCAGAUUUGUCCGCACUUGUCACAUGCAACCUCUGCACUCGAUAGGAUUUCAGAGAUCGAAGAGGUGAGUUCAGAACUCGAAGAGGCAAGCUCAGAAAUCGGAGAGGCAUCUGCUUUUCCAGACGUGUCAGUAUUUGUCACAUGCAGACUCAGCUUUGCGAAAAUCACGAGCAGUUUGUCGAAUCGCCAUUCUAGGUAUUGAAGAGGCACUUGCUUUUCCAGACGUGUCAGCGCCUGUCACAUGCACACUCAGCCUUGCGGAAAUUACUGGCAAUCUGUCGAAGAUCUCUUGUGAAGUAGAAAGCACGUGAAGUUCACUAUUAAAUCAUCCAACGGUUGCUGACAAGAGUGAAAGAAUAGUACCGGUUAUUAAUUCCUAUAAAUGUCACCCUUCACCCUCCAUUGCAAGGCAGACAUACAUAGCCCUUCUUCUUCUCCGAGAAUGCCUUUCCAACAAACCCUCUCGAGUCACUCAGUGUUCCUUAUUCCUUGGGGUACCUCUGCAAACAACUCAUCCAAAGCAAAAGUAUUUCAUAUCAUGAAGGUUGAAAGCAAGAGUAUCUCAUAUCAUUCUUUCUCCCUGUCGUUCUCCUUGUUGUUGUUUUGGGACAAGCAGAAAGAGAGCAAUUAGCCAGCACUUGGUAUCAAUCUUCCGAUCUGGAACCGACUGCUUGGAACCCCUUCCUGAUUGUUUACCAAGCCUUGCUCUCGAGUACUCAUCUUCAUCAUCUUAUGCUUCCUCUUCGUCUACCAUAUUUGCCUGGGGAACAGAUAAGGGAAGUGAAAAUGAUACAUCGCAGCAUGUGGAGACAAUGUGCUAAUUCAUCCUCAGCUAGGGACAAGGAGAAAGUAAGAGGUGGGCACUUGGAAAGAUUGAAGAAAGAAACAGACCAACACCUCUACCUCGUGCCUGCCUGCUGUGCAGAAGAAACAAGCAGAGAAGAAUGCAGACUGCACAAUCAAAUCAACCCAGUAGAAGGAGUCUGAUUUGAAACCAAGGAACUCUCAUAGUUCUCGCUCAGAAUUCCAAACCAAUUUGAGAUCAAAGCUGUGGAAAGUCAACAAGAUCAUCUAUCUCCAAAACCAGAUUUGCGUUCUUAAACUCUACUUUGUCUGGUUUUUACUUUGCCAUACUUGUCAUGUUUAUUCGUUGUUUAUUUGUUUGCUUGUUUUUGUGUGAGUUUAUGCUUGAAACAUUGAGGACAAUGUUUGAUUUAAGUGUGGGGGGGGGUAACCAAGUUGUUUUGCAUGAAAUUCGUAGGAGUUUAUCACCCAUUACUUCUAGUGUUGUUCCUUGCUGUUUUAAGUGUUUUUAAGCUAUUUUGGUGUGUUUUAGUGUGUUUUGAUAUAAAAAUCCGAAAAUCUCAUAAAAAUUUGAAAAAUUGUUUUGAAAAACCCAAAAAGAGUUGUUUUUGUAUGUUUAUUUGUGUCUUAGGGUACCUUCCAACACAAUGAUGAGGAUUUGGUUUUUAAUUGCAUGACUGUUAAAGAGAGUUAUAAAUAUAGAUGAAAAUUUGAUUUACUCUUUGGUGUACGCUUGGUUGUGGUUAUAAUUUAUGAAUUCACAUGCAAUCAUAAAGGAAAAAUCAGUUUUGUAACAUGCUUGAAAGAAGGAACUCAAAUGUACGCUACAACCUUGUGAGACUUGAGCCUAAACGUUUAUUUAGAGAGUUAAUAAUCUGUGCAUAAUUAUUUUCUAAAGUCGUUGCAUGAUCUCAUUAUUCUUUGCUUGGUUGCUACUUAGAAGGCGUUUCAUCAGUUAGUUCCAAAUGCUAGAACUCAUGCCUAUUUCAUUCAAAGCAUGUUAUUGAUUUGCAUAAUACAUAUUCAAGAUGAAGUUGUGUAGUGACCACCACAGCCAAAUUGCCGUGCCCUAUUUCAUUAUGUGUUUAAGUUUAACCCCGUUGAACCUUGUGUAGCCUAUGUUCUUUGUUAACCCACACUAUCCUCACCUAGCCUAGAUUAGGACCAUCCAUACCCUUGUUCUUGAAGCAUAGUAAAACAUAAUUUAGAGGGAAUUCCUUUUGUUGAACUUUUGCAGAAAAACAAGUGUGGGGGAAGCGAUUCUUAUGUGUGUGUGUGCCAAAGUCCUUAAUAAGGCACGGGUAGAAAAGAAAAAGAAAAAAAAAACAUUCGUGGAAAAUAGAAUGAAAAGAAGAAAAGUUGUGAAAAAGAGCCCUAAGUGUUGCUUGAAUCUUCCAUUUGUAUUUAAAAGUUGAUUCUGCAUUCUAAAGUGAAUUCCAAAGUGUCUAUUUCAUUGCUUUGCUUGCUAUCGCUUUAAGAACAUUUGUUAUUCCUAUCCUUUCUUUAUUAGCCAAUACCCCAAGCCCCGUUACAACCCUUGACUUCUAUCUUGAGUUUUAUGUGUUUCAAUUUGUGGAGUUUGAAUUUGGUAUGAGCAUAUGGUGUCACUGGUUCUCGCAUCUAAGUAGUAGCAUUCCAUUUAUGAGAUCAUAUCUAAACAUGCUUAUUAAUACCAGAAAAUGCUUUCUUGUUAUACAUAUAUGUGAGUACUAGUUUUCAUGUUUACAUCAAUCUUCUCACAUGUACCUAGUGUAGGGUGUGUAGUCAGAAAAUCUGAGUGAAAAUUGAGUGCAUAUCUUGUAAGGAAUUGAGCAAAUUCUCUAAGCCAUGUUACUACAUUCAAAACAUCGUUUUAAUUAGUUAAAUGUGAACUAGUAAGUGGUGACUGUGAUUAAGUAUGUGCUCAAGUGUUAAGUUGACUAAAAUCUAUGGGAAUGAUGAUUUUUAACUUGUCAUGUGCGUUGGAAAUCCCUGAGGCAAACGUUGGAAGGUUUAGGUUGUGUUUUGUUUUCUUUAUUUUGCUCGAGGACUAGCAAAAGUUAAGUGUGGGGGUAUUUGAUAAGCUCAUAUUUAUAUAUAUUUUACAUAAAAUUCACUUGUCUUUUCUUAGUUAAUUCCUUAUAUUUUUGAGCUAUUUACUAUGUUUUUGUGUUUUGUGUGAUUUAUCAAGCAAAGAAAAGAAAAGUAGCACAAGUGAGAUAUUAAGUAACAAAUUCGUCAAAACUGCCUGUGCAGAUUAGCUGACUUUGGAAGCAUGUUACGAACAGCUCAGAAUGAAUAAGAGAAUGAGCCUUAUAUGGUUGGAAAGCUACGGAUGUCUAUUUUCGGGACCAAUUUACGGAUUGUUAAUAUCAUUUUUCUAGAAGAAGUUAUGGGCAUUGUAACACUGAAAGGUUCAGAAAAGGGCUAAGCAGAUUUGGCUAAUAAAAUGAGAAAGUAAAGGCACUUGUUUUGUGUUUUGCUUUGUCAUCAACACUCAGCAGCAAAUGGGGUUAUGAUUGCACUCAUUUGGCUUUGGAGCAAGUGGAAAUGCACAGCUAGAAAGAGAAGGCACGACACAUGCAAAAGAGAAACAUGGACAGCUACACACAUGCAAACUGCACAGGUUGGAGGGCAUACACACACUCUACAUGGACAGCACACACACAACACGAAAGGCACGACAAGGAGGGCUUGGCAUGGGUAGAAAAUGGGUGGAUUGUUGGCUGAAAUAAUGAAGAACAUGUGUGUGCAAAUGCAAAGGAAAAACACACACACAUGGGCAAAGGAAACACACACACAUGGGCAAAGGAAAGACACACACAUGGGCAGAAAAUGGGUUGAUUUGUGGCUGAAAUGAUGGAGGUCAUGUGUGUAAAUGUAAAGGAGAAACAUGGCAGAAAAUGUGUUUGUUUGUGGCUGAAAUGAUGGAGGUCAUGUGUGUGCAAAUGUAAAGGGAAACAUGGACAUCACACACCCAUACAAACUGCACAUGCAAGGAAUUGAAGUGGUCCUCUCCUUAGCCUAUAAAUACAUCCACCAUUCCCCUUCCUAAGAACCAUCUUGAUCCAUAAAAAAAGAGCUACAUUCACAAACACAAAUACCAUCUUCAUCCAUUCAUUCCCACAUAUCCAUACACAUCCUAGACAUUUGUGCUACAACAAGGUGGUGAAAACAAAGGUCCUUGGCGUUUCAAGCUUGGAAGAUUGGAGCGUUUUAGGUGUACUUCAUUCUUGCUUUUAAUGUCCACUUUUUUAUUUUCUGAUUUUGUUACAACUAUGAGUGGCUAAACCCCUAUUUAGUUAGGGGGAAUUUCAAAACCAUGACUAAAUCUGCAAUAUGAAUUGAUUACUUUCAGUUGUGAUUUCAUAAAUUGUGAAUGCAAUUUAUUUAACUGUUUGAUUCAAAACUUAUUCUUGUAUGUUAAUUUUGGGUCGACACUUAGUUGGCAUGCAUGAAUUUGAUGCUAGAAUAUAAGGGAGUUUCACCUAAUCGUUAUGAACUUAUAUUCACAAGUAGUGAAGGUUGAUAGUCACAAUCGCGUUAAGUAAAUUCUUGGCAUAAGUUUCAUGCAAUUCACAGUUACAAGUGCCUCGUCAAUGCUUAUGAUUUUCAUAGAACUUAAUGAUCUUUGCUCGUAUCUCUAUUAUGCAAUUCAUGUAGGGAACUUGUGAGGAAUAAUUUGGGUUGUCGCAUGCAAUCAUCCAAUUCAAUGAAAAUAGGAAAAUCUGAGGGUUAAUUAGUGCAAUUCACGGUUAAUCUAGGGCAUUGAGAUUUAUGGUUUAUCGAAAGAACAACUGAACAUCAAUUUGUAUGCAAGUGUGUCAUGUGUGGAGAAGGACUCUCUAGCUAGCCCAUCAACCAUCCAAUUUACCAAAUUCGUGCAACUUUCUGUUUGAGUUUUUAGUUUACUUGUUUUGCUUCAAAUUCAUCAAAACCAAAACCC
rnacentral:lncRNA from 1 species